AAAGAUCUCCAUAAUUUCUUGCUUUAAUAGCUCGGCAGGCGGCAGCCACUUAACUCUCACAUAUUCCUCUUUAAAAAGUCGUUCCUCUCGUCUUCCUCCUCUAAUAUUUUCCAAUGGAGAAUUUUGCAUCAUUUUUUCCGCUUUCAUCUUCAGCAGCAGCAGAAACAACCAUGUCAUUGAACGUGGGUAGUUCUCAAGGUUUUACAGACUACUUUCAAGUUAACAAGGAAAAUGGGUUCUUGGGCUUGAUCCAGGAGAUGGAAGAUCAUCAUCAUCCUGUGAUGGGUGGUUUCAAUGGUAACAAUAGCAACAAUUAUAUCAACUUGUCUUCUCAGAAUAAAAGCUUUGGUGGGUCUGAAAAUGAAGAGAAAUUAUUGGGGAAGAAGAAGGGAUCGGAGAAGAAAAUAAGAAAGCCUAGAUAUGCCUUUCAAACAAGGAGCAGAGUUGAUAUUCUUGAUGAUGGGUACAGAUGGAGAAAGUAUGGCCAGAAGGCUGUCAAGAACAAUAAGUUUCCAAGAAGCUAUUACCGGUGUACUCAUCAAGGGUGCAAUGUCAAAAAGCAAGUUCAAAGAUUGACAAGAGAUGAAGGAAUUGUUGUCACAACCUAUGAAGGAAUGCAUUCUCAUCCAAUUGAAAAAUCUACUGAUAACUUUGAGCACAUCUUGAGCCAAAUGCAAAUCUAUGCACUUCCUUUUAAUUAGUCCCUUAAUCUCCAAUACAAGAAUUAACAUUUAAUAUUAAUUUCUUGUACAUUAAUAAAUUAUGUAAUGCUUUUUUUGUAUAAUCCUUAGUCCGGGGAUUAGCCGAUUUGAUUAGUGUGUAACUCUAAGAGAUUAAUGACUCAAAAUCCUUUUUG
rnacentral:misc_RNA from 1 species